UAUUUUGAGUAUGCGAAUGGUGUCCAUUGUCAUGUAAUCGUAUCGGGUUAAGAAGUUAUUUGUGUGUUCGAAGUUUGGUUGCGCGUUGCGCGAUUACUUGCUAGUUGCAAGCAGUUAUUUUUAUCGGUGUACUGCUACAAAUUAUUCGAUUGUUGUAAAAGACGUCUCCAGGGCUAUUACGAGUCAUAACAUAUCAAAAUUGAUGAAAAUACGUCCUAAAAUAAUCUCCCUUCGUUGUCUCAUACCAUUAUUAUAUAUACUGUCUGAUGUUUUGGAGCAUUAGUAACAUCCAGUACUGGUUUGUUGGCAUGUGUACAUAGUGACAAUAUUGACGACAUUUUGUAUACUCUGGACGUAGGCGUUUCUGUCAUAUGGAUGACGUCAUGGGUCAAAGCAGAUGGAUUAAAUCGGAUGCUUCCCUAAUGCCGAGUUCCGAAGGACACUAAUGACAGCAGCAGAGAAGCUUGCCGCUGUUCCUGAUGUGGAUAUCGACCCAGAA